rnacentral:tRNA from 1 species
GAGGUUGUGGCUCAGAGGUAGAGUGCUUGCCUAGGACAGGUGAGGCAGGUGAGGUCCUGAGUUCGAUCCUCAGCACCACA